ensembl:lncRNA
GGGUUUUGCCAUGUUGGCUAGGCUGGUCUUGAACUCCUGACUUUAUGAUUUGCCUGCCUCGGCUUCCCAAACACUUAGGGAGGCCAAGGCAGGCGGAUCACGAGGUCAGGAGAUCGAGACCAUCCUGGCUAACACGGUGAAACCCCGUCUCUACUAAAAAUACAAAAAAUUAGCCGGGCAUGGUGGGCGCCUGUAGUCCCAGCUUCUAGGGAGGCUGAGGCAGGAGAAUGGCGUGAAGUCAGGAGACAGAGCUUGCAGUGAGCCGAGAUCAUACCCCUGCACUCCAGGAAGGGUGACAGAGCGAGAUUCUGUCUCAAAAAAAAAAAAAAAGGAACAUCCUCACUUUUUUAAUGCGAAACCACUCUCUGCUCCCAAGUUAAUCCCUGUUUGGGCCUGUGGGAGCUUACACCAUCCUCCUACAGGUAAUUAAUAACUGAUGUCUGGCUUAUCUGUUUAGUAAUAGAUGUUAUGUGUUUAACAGUGCCAGUAAACGUAGGGUGCUAAUUCCUUCCUCACCAGUGGGGUGCAUGAGACGCUAUUGAAACCAUUGGCAACGCAACACAAAAUGAAUGGACCAGCCCUCAUACAGGACACCUGCUCAACUUGACCUACCUGAUGUCGGCUGACAGUUCCGAAACACAUCAGCAGUCACCUGGGUCAGAACCGUGAGCUGACGAUGGGCCUUCCCUUUGUUCUGCACAGUGUUUUGUGGUCUUCAGCUGUUGUCAUCUUCUCCCACACUAAACUGCUGUCAUCUCCUAGACAUGAAUGUUUAAUUGCACCCCAGCAUGACAUUUGGCCUGUGCUUAGCGGGCAGUUUUGAGGCCCUGGCUUAUUAAUGCACAAAAGCACAGCACAUAAGCUGACACUUAUGUCCUAAUUAGCAAGAAUCAGGCUGUAUCUCUAGUCCCUGCACCUACUCUGGUCACCAUCUCUGUAUGCUUAGGGCAGCCAUGUGAACAUUAUUAAUUAUUGUACACUCCAAGACAAUAGUUAUUAUGUAGGCAGAAGUAGUGGCCUUGUUUGUUUCUUGUGCUGCUGCUCCCCUUGCUUCUGUCCCAUACACCCUCCUGAUGAGGUGUACAUCUAUGGUGCCUCACGGUUCAGGCACUGAUGAGUAAAGACAAUGGGAAGAAAGAGUUUGCUAUUAGCCCCUACCGAAGCAUAUGAAGAAGCAUCUCAGCUGGUUUCAUUGAAAAAUUCCUAGCCAGUGUGUGGGCUUUUCUUAUCACUGCUGCUUAUCAGCAUGUCAAAAGUCAAAUCUUCGGACUGCAAGUCUUGCCGGCCUUAGACAUAAUGGCCUUACUGCAUGUGGAGCUAACCCCAGGAAGAUGGAGUGACACUCUUUGGAGGAUUAGGUGGUCUUCUCCAAUGUGGCUUGAUGGGCUCCUGAACUCUUUCCUUUAACCGUGCAGAGAGUCCACACUGCCAGUGAUCAUGUGCCACAACUCUAUAGAUGUAGAAACUCAAAAUAUUCAAAACAUUCUGAAACAGUUUCCAUUGAAAGGGAAGAGAAAAGCAGUCAGGUGCCACUCUCCGGUCAAGAGAACUAGUAGAUGGCUCACAAGAACACUCUGUCGCUACUGUCUGUGCCUCUGUCACCACAAUAUCCUGAUCCUUCAGUUUUAAGGGUGUAGGGCCAUUUUCCUCCCUUUCUUACUGGUAGUUCUCAAGAUAACUGUAUGAUAUGCUGGGAAGGCAAUAUCCUGAUAAUCAGGUGACAUUGGUCAGAACAGCCCAGGCUCUGUUAUAGUCCCUGCUCGAAACAAUGGCCUUUAACGCUUGUGUCCAGCAAACCACAUCCUGGGAGAAAACCCAAGGUGGGCUGCUUUCUGGGGUCCCUCAGUUGUAGUGCAAGUGAAGCAUUUACAGUCAAAACUCCAUCCAUCUGCUCUGGGUAGCCUUCCUGAUCUUGUGGUAGCGGUUCAUAUUGAAUCCUAGACCUCUGUUGUCUUUUGUUUGCUAUUUGUAAGUAAUAAAUUCACUUCAUGGGA